rnacentral:rRNA from 1 species
ACAACGGAGAGUUUGAUCCUGGCUCAGGAUGAACGCUAGCGACAGGCUUAACACAUGCAAGUCGAGGGGCAGCGGGGAUGAAGCUUGCUUCAUCUGCCGGCGACCGGCGCACGGGUGAGUAACACGUAUACAAUCUGCCCAUGUCAGGGGGAUAAGCGACGGAAACGUUGUCUAAUACCGCGUAAGACUCAGGGGGGCAUCCCUUUGAGUUGAAAGAGAUUCGGACAUGGAUGAGUAUGCGGCGCAUUAGUUAGUUGGCGGGGUAACGGCCCACCAAGACGACGAUGCGUAGGGGUUCUGAGAGGAAGGUCCCCCACACUGGUACUGAGACACGGACCAGACUCCUA